rnacentral:misc_RNA from 1 species
GAUAAGAACGUAGCGAAAUGCGAUAAGUAAUGUGAAUUGCAGAAUUCAGUGAAUCAUCGAAUCUUUGAACGCACAUUGCGCCCCCUGGUAUUCCGGGGGGCAUGCCUGUUCGAGCGUCAUUUCAACCCUCAAGCUCUGCUUGGUAUUGAGUCCAUGUCAGCAAUGGCAGGCUCCAAAAUCAGUGGCGGCGCCGCUGGGUCCUGAACGUAGUAAUAUCUCUCGUUACAGGUGCUCGGCGUGCUUCUGCCAAAACCCCAAUUUUUCUAUGGUUGACCUCGGAUCAGGUAGGGAUACCCGCUGAACUUAAGCAUAUCAAUAAGCGGAGGA